rnacentral:rRNA from 1 species
UACAGAGGGUGCUAGCGUUGUUCGGAAUCAUUGGGCGUAAAGGGCGUGUAGGCGGUUUGUUAAGUCAUGUGUGAAAUCCCUCGGCUCAACCGGGGAACGACGCAUGAAACUGGCAAGCUAGAGUACCAAAGAGGGGGGUGGAAUUUCCGGUGGAGCGGUGAAAUGCGUAGAGAUCGGAAAGAACACCAACGGCGAAAGCACUCUGCUGGGCCGACACUGACACUGAGAGACGAAAGCUAGGGGAGCGAAUGGG